rnacentral:rRNA from 1 species
GACGGACGCUGGCGGCGUGCUUAACACAUGCAAGUCGAACGGUAAGGCCCUUCGGGGUACACGGGUGGCGAACGGGUGAGUAACACGUGGGUGAUCUGACCUGCACUUCGGGAUAAGCCUGGGAAACUGGGUCUCAUAACGGAUAGGACUCCGGACUGCAUGGGCGGGGGUGGAACGCUUAUGCGGUGUGGGAUGGUCCAGCGGCCUAUCAGCUUGUUGGUGAGGUGGUGGCUUACCAAGGCGCAGACGGGUUGCCGGCAUGAGAGUCUGACCGGCCACACUGGGAAUGAGAGACGGCCCAGACUCCUACGGGAGGCAGCAGCGGGUAAUAUUGCACAAUGGGCGCAAGCCUGAUGCAGCGACGCCGCGUGAGGGAUGACGGCCUUCGGGUUGUAAACCUCUUUCAGCACAGACGAAGCGCAAGUGACGGUAUGUGCAGAAGAAGGACCGGCCAACUACGUGCCAGCCGCCGCGGUAA